rnacentral:rRNA from 1 species
CGCUGGCGGCAGGCCUAACACAUGCAAGUCGAGCGGUAGAGAGAAGCUUGCUUCUCUUGAGAGCGGCGGACGGGUGAGUAAUGCCUAGGAAUCUGCCUGGUAGUGGGGGAUAACGUUCGGAAACGGACGCUAAUACCGCAUACGUCCUACGGGAGAAAGCAGGGGACCUUCGGGCCUUGCGCUAUCAGAUGAGCCUAGGUCGGAUUAGCUAGUUGGUGAGGUAAUGGCUCACCAAGGCGACGAUCCGUAACUGGUCUGAGAGGAUGAUCAGUCACACUGGAACUGAGACACGGUCCAGACUCCUACGGGAGGCAGCAGUGGGGAAUAUUGGACAAUGGGCGAAAGCCUGAUCCAGCCAUGCCGCGUGUGUGAAGAAGGUCUUCGGAUUGUAAAGCACUUUAAGUUGGGAGGAAGGGUUGUAGACUAAUACUCUGCAAUUUUGACGUUACCGACAGAAUAAGCACCGGCUAACUCUGUGCCAGCAGCCGCGGUAAUACAGAGGGUGCAAGCGUUAAUCGGAAUUACUGGGCGUAAAGCGCGCGUAGGUGGUUUGUUAAGUUGGAUGUGAAAUCCCCGGGCUCAACCUGGGAACUGCAUUCAAAACUGACUGACUAGAGUAUGGUAGAGGGUGGUGGAAUUUCCUGUGUAGCGGUGAAAUGCGUAGAUAUAGGAAGGAACACCAGUGGCGAAGGCGACCACCUGGACUAAUACUGACACUGAGGUGCGAAAGCGUGGGGAGCAAACAGGAUUAGAUACCCUGGUAGUCC